UUUUGUUCUCAAAAGAAGUUUGUUAGGAUUCGGGUCAGUGUGAGUGGUCUUUUCUAUAGAGGAUCUCGGAAGAGAGCUCUGACAGGCUGACGCACCGGCAGCUGAUUCCAGAUGAUUGACUGGCAGAUCUUUAAGAAGCGGAGGAACAGUCACUCAUCGCUCGAUUGUCCCAUUUCGUUGGUCAGAGUCAACCCUGAAUCCCUGCUUAGAUGUUUUUUUGAGAGGACUCAAGUAAUUUUGUGUCUGCUUUCAGGAAACGGCGAGCCGCCGGGAACAAGCCAAGAACCACGCCUGGACAUUAAGAUCCCUCCUGCCGAAGCCAAACAUCUCCCGGAUCCUAGCCCUCCCCUUCAAGCUACGGCCACACGAAAGACAAACCCAAGCAGAACCCCUACCAUCCUGUGGGACUUAAUUUGUACGAACCAUCUACAAUUAAAAAAACCUUUUCAC